rnacentral:lncRNA from 1 species
GAUUUGAAAACAUUUACGUGUACCACCGUUAAAAGCAAUUUAAAAAUACGAUAUUCAUUCUUAGUCCAAUUUGAGAUUUUGGGAUAAGUAUCCGUUCAGAAAUUAUAAUCGAGAUGAUUUGUCGAUAUUGAAUUUAUUUAGGAGGAAACCAGAUGUUAAUAAAAAGAGCAGAGUCGAUGAGAGAGAGGAAAAAAAAAAAAAAAAAAAGGAUUGUUUUAUUGUAAACUAACACUAUUUCGUAGAAUUGCAUCAGCCGACCUCUUCAGAUAUUCGGUCGAUUUGUCGACACAUGCGCUCUAGAAUAGAUCAAUAUGCCAAGUGUUUGUCAAAGCUGCAGCGAAGUUCAAUGUCCUUCUUCUGUCACGAAUUUUCUGAUACUACAUUCGAUAAAGAAAAAAAUACCGAUACAAUUUUCAUCUCCCUACUCUAUAACGUUUUCUCUAAAAUUAUAUCGGUAAUUCGUUCGAGUUUACACGUUCGUGCAUUAAGAAAAUAAACGAUACUCUGCAAACUGUGGACGAACGGACUACUACUACUCCCCCUUAGAAAUAUAAUGAGAAUUUCCCCCUAGCAACUAUUGCUAUAUAACGUUUGUUUUCAAAAAUUUCUGUUUAUUUUUGCGAUUUGAGUGUAAAGUACAACCCAAAGUUUAUCUUUUGUCAAAUCUGUCUGGUUUUCGUAACAAUGAAAUACAAUUAAUCAAGAUGAAUAUGGGUUUUUGAUUCGCAGAUUGUUACAC